UACGUAUGGAGCAAGCGUUAUCCGGAUUUACUGGGUGUAAAGGGAGCGCAGGCGGUCUGGCAAGUCUGAUGUGAAAGGCCGGGGCUCAACCCCGGGACUGCAUUGGAAACUGUCAGACUGGAGUGUCGGAGAGGUAAGCGGAGUUCCUAGGGUAGCGGUGAAAUGCGUAGAUAUUAGGAGGAACACCAGUGGCGAAGGCGGCUUACUGGACGAUGACUGACGCUGAGGCUCGAAAGCGUGGGGAGCAAACAGG
rnacentral:rRNA from 1 species